UACGUAGGGAGCAAGCGUUGUCCGGAAUCAUUGGGCGUAAAGAGCGCGUAGGCGGUCCGGUAAGUCGGUUGUGAAAACUGGGGGCUCAACCCUCAGAGGCCGACCGAUACUGCCGGGCUAGAGUCCGGAAGAGGCGAGUGGAAUUCCUGGUGUAGCGGUGGAAUGCGCAGAUAUCAGGAGGAACACCAAUAGCGAAGGCAGCUCGCUGGGACGGUACUGACGCUAAGGCGCGAAAGCGUGGGGAGCGAACAGG
rnacentral:rRNA from 1 species